CCUACGGGAGGCAGCAGUGGGGAAUAUUGGGCAAUGGGCGCAAGCCUGACCCAGCAACGCCGCGUGAAGGAAGAAGGAUUUCGGGUUGUAAACUUCUUUUCUUAGGGACGAAGCAAGUGACGGUACCUGAGGAAUAAGCCACGGCUAACUACGUGCCAGCAGCCGCGGUAAUACGUAGGAGGCAAGCGUUAUCCGGAGUGACUGGGUGUAAAGGGCGUGUAGGCGGGGACACAAGUUAGAUGUGAAAACCACGGGCUCAACCUGUGGCCUGCAUUUGAAACUGUGUUUCUUGAGUACUGGAGAGGCAGACGGAAUUCCUUGUGUAGCGGUGCAAUGCGUAGAUAGUAGGAGGAACACCAGUGGCGAAGGCGGUCUGCUGGACAGCAACUGACGCUGAGGCGCGAAAGCGUGGGGAGCAAACAGGAUUAGAUACCCCUGUAGUC
rnacentral:rRNA from 1 species